UACGGAGGGGGCUAGCGUUGUUCGGAAUUACUGGGCGUAAAGCGCGCGUAGGCGGCUUUGUAAGUCAGAGGUGAAAGCCUGGAGCUCAACUCCAGAACUGCCUUUGAGACUGCAUCGCUUGAAUCAUGGAGAGGUUAGUGGAAUUCCGAGUGUAGAGGUGAAAUUCGUAGAUAUUCGGAAGAACACCAGUGGCGAAGGCGACUAACUGGACAUGUAUUGACGCUGAGGUGCGAAAGCGUGGGGAGCAAACAGGAUUAGAUACCCUAUAGUCC
rnacentral:rRNA from 1 species